rnacentral:lncRNA from 9 species
AUGCAUAGAGGGCUGAGCCAUAGAACAAGGAGACCACUGUCAGGUGGGAUCCACAGGUCCCAAAUGCUUUUCUCUGCCCUGCAGAAGACUUUAUUCUUAAGACGGCCCUCACAAUCUGACUGUAGGAGAACAAUGAUGACACUGACAAAGAAGAUCUCAGACUCAUUCACAGUGUGUCAACACAGGCAAGCUUGAGCAAAGGAAGGACCUCACAAAAGAAGUGGUCUAAUUCAUUUCUCCCACAGUGGUAAAAGGAAGAUGAGCACUGUCUGCAAUACGGAGUUGGCAAAACCAGUGAUCCAUGAAGCACAAGCCAUCAGGGCACAGAGACAGGGGUGCAUGAUUACUGUGUAGUGAAGGGGCUUGCAAACAGCUGCAUAGCGGUCAAGUGCCAUAACUCCUAGGAGGAUGCAUUCUGUACCUCCCAACCCCAAAGAGAUGUAGAGCUGAACCACACAACCACCAAAGGAAGAUUUGUCUGAUCCUCUGAGAUUAACCAGGAGCUGGGGACAAUGCUGGUAGUAUAGCACAGGUCCACAAAGCUUAGGUUGGAGAGGAAAAAGUACAUAGGGCUGUGAAGAUGUGGGUCCGCAUGGGACAAUGCAAUGAUAGCUGUGUUUGCUAGCAAAGUGAAGACGUAGAAGAUCAAAAGAACCACAAAGAGGACCUGCUCCAGUUGAGGCCUGUCAGAGAAACCCAGCAGGAUAAAUCCAGUGAAAGAACUUCCAUUUCUCUGUUCCAUCCUGUGUUAGCACAUGGUUCCUAACAAGAAAAAGCAUUUAGUUAUUUUGAAAGGGUACCUUGAAAAAGGGUGGGGGUAUGGGAGGAAGUGAACCUAUCUCGUUAAAAGACAAGACCAUGGGAAAGUAUAAGCAGAUAUUUGAAAAAAAAGGAUGUGCUUAUUGGGACUGACAUAUCUUAUCCCAAUUUAGUUGUACGUUAUCACAAAAACAUUGAUAUUUUAUAUACGAAAAAUCAACAAUGGUUUUUGCAUCGAUCAUACGUAUAAAAGGACUGCUUCAGAUCGAGUUUAAUAGGACUUAAAAGUACUCUAAGAAUAUAUGUACUCUUUAGAGAAACUGGGAAUAAGGAGAAAUAGGGAGACUGAUCAGAAAGAGUAAGAAAAACAGCUCGACAAGGGGAGAGAGCCCUUAAUAGGUAUCUUAAAUAGGUAUCUCAUAAUCCUACACAAUGGAAUUUGCACAAACAUCACAUGUAACUGAACACAAGAAAAUCUCUAAAAUGCAUUCGGUAAUAGGAUUUUAUGGCCUAGAAUGUACCUAUACAAAGGAUUAAAUUACUUUCAACAUAUCACUAAGAGGGCUACACAGAAACAUUUUAGCAGAACUGCCCAUCUUCUCUCCUAAUAUAUUUGUGAAUGCUACCUUGGGCUUCUGGACGGGAGUAAAGCAGUUAAAUCCUCAGGUAAAGCCUGAAAAUAUUACCAUUCCAUUAGAGUGUUUAACUAUUGCCCUCAAGAUACCAAAAUUACUCUCCCAAUUUAACAAGGACUCCAAAAAUUCACUGGCUGUGCAUACUCAGUUGUCCAAAAUCCAAGGAGCAACACUUACCUCUUCUUUCUGUUGAUUUCACUUCACAUGUUACCAACAACUAGAGCGACCGCAAUUCCCAAAGUAGGUAGGAUUAUUCACUAGCAACAUUCUGAUCAACAUAGACAUUUUCAAAGUUGUCCAAUUGUGCAACCUAUUACAAAGUGUAAUGUUUUACAUCACUCCUUAUGAUAAACAAUUAAAUUGAUAAAUACAUAGAGAUAAUAACAGAUACCUUGUCAGUGCAAUGACAGGGCAAAGAUAGAACACAAAAAUAAAAGUCAUACAAGGAAAGGCAUAAGGAUAUUUUGGAUAUUAUAAAAAUCUAAGAACUUCCAUCUACCUUUUGUUAAUUUUAUUUAUUUUAUUUAUUUUUUUGUCUUUUUAUGGCCGCACCCACAGCAUAUGGAAGUUCCCAGGCUAGGGGUCAAAUUGGAGCUGUAGCUGCUGGCCUACGCCACAGCCACAGCAACGCCAGAUCCGACCCACAUCGGUGACCUACACCGCAGCUUGUGGCAACACCAGAUCCUUAACCCACUGAGCAAGGUCAGGGAUCGAACCCACAUACUCAUGGAUAUUAGUCGGGUUUGUCACCACGGAGCCACGACUGGAAGUCCUACCUUGGGUUAAUUUUACAUAGGUACCUUUCUGGGAGCAAUCCUGAAGCAUUAGUUAUACUAAAGCAAACACACUGCCACCUCUAAGCUUAUUUCAUUACCAGUUUUAUCCAGUGACUUAGUAUUUGCAUAAACACGGUCACACACUGACUCAAGUGUCAUUAGAAGACAAAUAGUUCAGUUCUAUCAUGGUCAAAUUGUUAGACAUACAGUAAAUUUGUAAUUCUUCCAAGACAUUUGAAAUCUGAGUCGGGUUUGGGUGUGGGUGUAGACCCAUUGAUGUGUGAAAGAAAUUGGUACAAACUUGGCAUAAAAUAAAUGUUAACAAAAGCUGAAUAAGGGAAAAGUAAAGGUCAAAUCAAAGACACGUAGUGGUAGAGAGGCCACUGGGAAGUAGUCUUCCAUCACUGACAUAAACAUCCUCCUUGACCCAUAAUUCAGUUGCAAGGAAAGCAAACAACCAAAAAAUAUAAACUAUAAAAGCAAGCAUAACAGAAAUGUAGUACUUCAUAUGUAGGCAUUAAUUAAACUCAUAUAGCUUUACACUCGGUCACCUAACAGCUCUAUGCAAGAGUACUAGUUCACAAACCCUGCAAAAACGAUUUUUAAUUAGUAAAUUUUUUCCACAUUUAAUGCUUGUAAAAUAAAACAUCCAAGUGUCUGGACCUGGACUGAUCUGCUACUUACAGUUAACAACAUCAAUAUAACUGGUAUUCCUGAGUGUUUGAUAUGUCCUAAAACAUUUACAUGCAUAAUCUCAACUAUUUCCAAAAUUUUGCAAAAUGUAUUAAUUUCCCUUUCACAAAUGAACAAGUACAUUAACAUGAUUAAAUAGCUUACCAAAAGAUUAUUAAACUCCUAACUAUUUGAACACAAAUCAGGUCUCUUUGAUAUCAAAAUUCACUCUUUUCACCAUCAUAACACCUAUCAUCAAUCAAACGAAUAUUAUAAAACUGAGAGACAGUUCAUGAGACAUAAAGAACGUGCUAUUUCAUAAUAUUUUAUACUUCCUUUGAUUUGUUGUUAAGUAGUACUCACAAUCUACGUCCAAAAUUUUCCUAACAGAAUUAUAAAACUAUGAGAAAAAUAAAAGUAUAAGAGACAGUCUAAAUGUCCAGGGAGGAGUUCCUGCUGUGGCACAGUGGUUGAAUAAUUGACUGCAGUGGCUUCGGGUCACUGUGGAGGCACGUGCUAAUCCCCAGCCACGUUUAGUAAGUUAACAGAUCUUGCAUUGCCCUAGCCUCUGGCCCAGGGAACUUCCAUAUGUCAGGGUUGUGGCCACAAAAAAAUAAUUAAUAAAAAGAUGUCCAGUGACAGAUUAUAUUAAAAUACAUGAUUCAGUCUCAUGAACACAAACGCAAAUAUAACACAAUAAUCCAAAAUGACUGAUUACAAAUUUUUUAGUGUACCUAAUAAAGAUGUAUUCACAAGAAUGAAGGGCAAAAAUAAAAUGUUAACUUAUCCAAGGAAAACAUGAAUAUUAUAUUGUAUCAGUAUAAUAAAAUGAUAAUUUUAACAUAGUAUUUAAUAACAAGAAGGUAUUUGGGAAAAAAAAGUAAAUACCUCCAAUUUUCAUAAAAACAUUAUUUAUAAUAAUCAAGAUAUGGAAGCAAUCUAAGUGUCCAUCAACAGAUGAACGGAUAAAAAAGAUGUGGUAUUUGUGGUGUAUAUGUACAUACAUAUACAAUGGAAUAUUACUAAGCCAUAAAAAAGAUUGUAAUUUUGCCAUUUACAACAACAUAGACUAACAUGGAGGAUAUUAUACCUAUGGAAAUAAGUCACAAAAAGGCAAAGAGUGUUC